UGAAAGAGUUGCAUUGACAAUUGGCACACACGUUCAGACCUCAGGCUGCCCGACCACCUACCAAUUUGACUUGACAGAAGGAGGGGUUGCAAAUGAUAUCAAGAACCUUGCUCAGGGCUGCAGAAUUCCCAGUGGUUUACAAUGGAUGGUUGAUCACCAGAGAAGCCCGCACCAAAGCUAUUUCUCCCAUCUACCAGCUGAUUCUGGAAGAGCAUGGUCCAACAGAAAAAAAUGAUGGGCUAACCAGGGACUGAGACAGUGACAUUCUCAGCGCAGGACCUGCCACAUAGUCACCAACAAGAUAAAUGAUAUGGUCACCAUAGUGAUAAAAGCCCAAACAGCUGAGAUGCUGACCGAGAGUACUACUUCAAACCUGGGGACAGCACAUUCCCUCUCACCAGGAACAGGACAUGGCUUGUAUGGAAACAAAUCUCAUACAAACAUUGUGCCCAGUGUUCCUGCUUGCCCUGCAGCCUAACGCCUCAUGGUCACAGCUCUAGCUGCUGCUUCCUGGGAAGACUGCUUUCAGAAUUCUGCUGUUAUGGUUUAGAUCUGAAAUGUCCCCUAGUGGUCUCAUGUGUUCAGAGGUGGGGCUUUUGG